UACGUAGGGUGCAAGCGUUAAUCGGAAUUACUGGGCGUAAAGCGUGCGCAGGCGGUUUUGUACGUCUGACGUGAAAUCCCCGGGCUCAACCUGGGAAUUGCGUUGGAGACUGCAAGGCUGGAGUCUGGCAGAGGGGGGUAGAAUUCCACGUGUAGCAGUGAAAUGCGUAGAGAUGUGGAGGAACACCGAUGGCGAAGGCAGCCCCCUGGGUCAAGACUGACGCUCAUGCACGAAAGCGUGGGGAGCAAACAGG
rnacentral:rRNA from 1 species